rnacentral:rRNA from 1 species
AUUGAACGCUAGCGGAAGGCCUAACACAUGCAAGUCGAACGCGUGGCGGACGUGAGAGUACUGUCUGUGAAAAUGCCCGAUGGCGGGGGAAAACUAAUGGAAACGGUAGCUAAUACCGCAUACCAUCAGAGGUGACCACAUGGGAUUAGCUAGUUGGUGGGGGAACGGCGGACAAAGGGGACGAUCCCUAGCUGGUAUGAGAGGAUGACCAGCCACACUGGAACUGAGACACGGUCCAGACUCCUACGGGAGGCAGCAGUGGGGAAUGUUGCACAAUGGGCUAAAGCCUGAUGCAGCCAUGCCGCGGGUGUGAAGAAGGCCUUCGAGUUGUAAAGUACUUUCAGCGGGGAGGCGUUACCCGCAGAAGAAGCACCGGCUAACUCCGUGCCAGCAGCCGCGGUAAUUC